GAUGAACGCUGGCGGCGUGCCUAAUACAUGCAAGUCGAGCGAACAGACGAGGAGCUUGCUCCUCUGACGUUAGCGGCGGACGGGUGAGUAACACGUGGAUAACCUACCUAUAAGACUGGGAUAACUUCGGGAAACCGGAGCUAAUACCGGAUAAUAUAUUGAACCGCAUGGUUCAAUAGUGAAAGACGGUUUUGCUGUCACUUAUAGAUGGAUCCGCGCCGCAUUAGCUAGUUGGUAAGGUAACGGCUUACCAAGGCAACGAUGCGUAGCCGACCUGAGAGAGUGAUCGGCCACACUGGAGCUGAAACACGGACCAGAGUCCUAAGGGAGGCAGCAGAAGGGAAUGUUCCGCAGUGGGCGAAAGCAUGACGGAGCAACGGCGAGUGAGUGAUGACGGUCUUCGGAUCGUAAAACUCUGUUAUUAGGGAAGAACAAAUGUGUAAGUAACUAUGCACGUCUUGACGGUACCUAAUCAGAAAGCAACGGCUAACUACGUG
rnacentral:rRNA from 1 species